AAUCAUUUCACAUGUGAAAGGAUUUCACAUGAAAUCACAUGUGACAUUUCACAUGUGAAAAGAUUUCACAUGAAAUCACAAGUGAAAUUUCACAUGUGAAAGGAUUUCACGUGAAAUCACAUGUGACAUUUCACAUGUGAAAAGAUU